rnacentral:misc_RNA from 1 species
GUUUUGUUCUGCAGUUGAUAGAAUGUUAUCUGCUUUAGAUUAUUUGUCUAUAGCCUCCUCUUUUAGGUCCACAAUUAUAUUGAUUUAGUUUGUUGCAUUUGGAGAACCAUUAGAAUCGCUUAGGAUAUAUAGUUCUGAUAAGUUAUAAUAAUUUUGAAUUUGCUAGUUGAUAUGAAGUAAAUCAUUUUAGCCAUUCUAGUUGUUAUUUGUUAUGAAGUAAUAUUGCUAUUUUUAAUGAAGAAUGUAACUUUUGCUAAUGUAAA